rnacentral:rRNA from 1 species
UACAGAGGUCUCAAGCGUUGUUCGGAUUCAUUGGGCGUAAAGGGUGCGUAGGCGGCGCGGUAAGUCGGGUGUGAAAUCUCGGAGCUUAACUCCGAAACUGCAUUCGAUACUGCCGUGCUUGAGGACUGGAGAGGAGACUGGAAAUUUACGGUGUAGCGGUGAAAUGCGUAGAUAUCGUAAGGAAGACCAGUGGCGAAGGCGGGUCUCUGGACAGUUCCUGACGCUGAGGCACGAAGGUCAGGGGAGCAAACGGG